rnacentral:lncRNA from 1 species
UUUUAAUAACAAAAUGGUCUUUAACAAUUUAGAUUCACACACCAAGAACACUAAUCAAUUAAAGUAUUGUGCUAUUCUACUUGGGAGGCCACAAAAAAUAGCUUUGUAUUAUCUAACUUCUAAUAAAAAGGUGAAUAGGAUGCAACUGUAGAUACAAUAGUAAAGCAAUCCUAUUUUACUGUUCACUAUAUUUUCCCUAUUUUAAAAAAAAAAAUUCUUUGUUGCGACCAUGUCGACAACCAUGUUAACCGUACUUCCACGACCAUACUCCUUAUUUUCCUUUUUAUUGAUAUCUUCAUUUUUAAUUUUUUUUUUUCAUUUUGGUGAAUUCUGUUUUUAUUGGAC